GUAAUAUUCAAGGUCAAAUAUAUUAUGUUCCUCUUUAUAGAUGUAAUGAAAUUGUCUCUUCACAGUACUUAAAUGUUGACAAAUUCACUGUGUGGACUUUUACCUUUGAAAUAAUUAUUUAUUAAAAUUCUGCAAGUUUUGUAUAUCUAAAAUCGAUAUUUACAUAUAUCCCUAUUGGUAAAUCAAUUUUUCCCAAAUUAAGUUAAGAGGGGGGUGUGGGGGUCAGUGAAAAAACUAUGUGAAUUAAGUUUUUUAUCCUACAUUGAACUUUUGAUGUCGUCCCUAAAGCAAGCUCCACUAACAGGUUGAAAAUCAUCAAUUUAUUUCAUCAUAUCAUUUCAUGGUUUAAAAGAUAACAAAAAAAUAUAUGGGUAGCUCUAUAAAUUAGAGUAGCUUUAAGAAAUAGGGUGGAUUCAUUAUAAUUCUUUGUGUACCUAUUUUCUUAGAUUUCGUUGAAACUGUAAACUUGUUUUAAUUGUUGUAAAAAC
rnacentral:lncRNA from 1 species